UGUUUUUAAUUGGGAUGUUUGCAGCUCGGGAAAUUGCUUCUCAGACUACAGUACCCACAGUCCUUCACCGCCGGUUUGGCACAGUCCAUCAGGGCAAAACAAAACCCAGACGUCUCCAUGGGGUCCCCUUACCUGGCCACGCAGGCAGCUGGAGAUCUGCCAAGCCUGGCCCACGGGCAGAUGUGCUUUUUUUUGGGAAAAGACAGGUGAGAUCCGUGAGUGUGAAACUCCGACGUGGCUCCCUGCCUUCCCCCAGACACCACUGCCAGAUCCCGGUCCUAGCAGGUAGGGUCUCCCGUGCCUGUUUCUCUUCCAUUUCUGCCAAACUCCGUCCAGAACUUCUUCCAAAUGAACCCUGAAGUCCAGUUUGGGAGAGAUCACAAGGCAGAAACAACAAGCAUAAUGAACCAUAUUUAAAAUGAUAUUUUUUCUGCCUUUGGAGUUUGGUUAAUUUAUAAUCUAUAAAAGUCUCUGCAUAAUUGUGUCUUGAUUAAAAUGGUAUAAUUAGGCGCUCUGGAUCUCUCUCCCCUUUCCCUAAGAUUAUUUCUGUCUAAUUGCUUUAAUCUGUGUUUUCAUGCACCCACUAGAAAAUCAAAGCAUGCUCCCAUGAGGAUGCGGGUGAGAGUGAAUAAAGCUGACGACUCAUUAAGUGCAGCAGAGAGAGGAAACUGCAUCUAAAUCACCACUACAUUAACGAGGUGACUUCUUCGCAGCGAUGCUCAAGCUACAGCCUCCGACAUCUAGCCCCAGUAACCUACAAACAGGUCACCUCUCUCCAAGGGAGGAAUCGUGAAAACAAGCAUCCCUUGAGGACCAAGCACGGCGGGAGGAUCGAUGGCCACAUCAGCAUGGCAGACGACAGGGUAAUACUGAAAAAGAAAGCCGGAUCAGCAGCCUGCAGCCCUCGAGUUCAAGAAGAGCCUAAUCUAAUUAAGUGGAGACCACUAUCAAAUUACCAGCUCUCUUUUAAUGUAGCCAUUUUAAGUGGUUCAGUGUAUUUAUAGCAGGCGAGUUAGGGAGGGCUUUGCUCUCUUGAGGUUAUGCUUGUGUAUAAGGCAGAGAUACACAAUAAAGUUAA